CUUUGCUCUUUUAUCUUUAAUCAGUAGGCUCUUUUCCCACGGAAAAUGCCUCAGGGGAUUGUACACUUCGUUAGUGCAGUUAUUAAGAGUUCACUUUCAUAAUUAACUGACAAUGAAAAGUCAUUCAUGUAUAGCAUUUCAUAGUGCAUGGAAAACCAUGUACUAUGAAAAUUAGAGGGGGGAAAACUGACUUUUCAUUGG
rnacentral:lncRNA from 1 species